GCGAAAGUAGCUCAGAGGUAGAGCGCCACCUUGCCAAGGUGGAUGUCGCGGGUUCAAAUCCCGUCUUUCGCU
rnacentral:tRNA from 1 species